CAAUAGCGUAUAUUAAAGUUGUUGCGGUUAAAAAGCUCGUAGUUGGAUUUCUGCCGAGGACGACCGGUCCGCCCUCCGGGUGAGUAUCUGGCUCGGCCUGGGCAUCUUCUUGGAGAACGUAGCUGCACUUGGCUGUGUGGUGCGGUAUUCAGGACUUUUACUUUGAGGAAAUUAGAGUGUUUCAAGCAGGCACACGCCUUGAAUACAUUAGCAUGGAAUAAUAAGAUAGGACCUCGGUUCUAUUUUGUUGGUUUCUAGAUCUGAGGUAAUGAUUAAUAGGGAUAGUUGGGGGCAUUCGUAUUUAACUGUCAGAGGUGAAAUUCUUGGAGUUGUUAAAGACGGACUACUGCGAAAGCAUUUGCCAAGGAUGUUUUCAUUGA
rnacentral:rRNA from 1 species